GUGCUCACCUCAACAGCACAUAUAUUAAAAUUGAAAUAACACAGACAAGAUCAACGUGGCCCCAGUGCAAGGGUGACUCAAAAUUCGUGAAGCCUUCCAUAUUUUU
ensembl:snRNA U6 U6 spliceosomal RNA